AGUGAACGCUGGCGGUAGGCCUGACACAUGCAAGUCGAACGGCAGCACAGUAAGAGCUUGCUCUUACGGGUGGCGAGUGGCGGACGGGUGAGGAAUACAUCGGAAUCUACUUUUUCGUGGGGGAUAACGUAGGGAAACUUACGCUAAUACCGCAUACGACCUACGGGUGAAAGCAGGGGAUCUUCGGACCUUGCGCGAUUGAAUGAGCCGAUGUCGGAUUAGCUAGUUGGCGGGGUAAAGGCCCACCAAGGCGACGAUCCGUAGCUGGUCUGAGAGGAUGAUCAGCCACACUGGGACUGAGACACGGUCCAGACUCCUACGGGAGGCAGCAGUGGGGAAUAUUGGACAAUGGGCGCAAGCCUGAUCCAGCCAUACCGCGUGGGUGAAGAAGGCCUUCGGGUUGUAAAGCCCUUUUGUUGGGAAAGAAAAGCAGCAGGUUAAUACCCCGCUGUUCUGACGGUACCCAAAGAAUAAGCACCGGCUAACUUCGUG
rnacentral:rRNA from 1 species